rnacentral:rRNA from 1 species
GUGAACGCUGGCGGUAGGCCUAACACAUGCAAGUCGAACGGCAGCACAGUAAGAGCUUGCUCUUACGGGUGGCGAGUGGCGGACGGGUGGGGAAUACAUUGGAAUCUACUUUUUCGUGGGGGAUAACGUAGGGAAACUUACGCUAAUACCGCAUACGACCUACGGGUGAAAGCAGGGGAUCUUCGGACCUUGCGCGAUUGAAUGAGCCGAUGUCGGAUUAGCUAGUUGGCGGGGUAAAGGCCCACCAAGGCGACGAUCCGUAGCUGGUCUGAGAGGAUGAUCAGCCACACUGGAACUGAGACACGGUCCAGACUCCUACGGGAGGCAGCAGUGGGGAAUAUUGGACAAUGGGCGCAAGCCUGAUCCAGCCAUACCGCGUGGGUGAAGAAGGCCUUCGGGUUGUAAAGCCCUUUUGUUGGGAAAGAAAGGCAGCAGGUUAAUACCCCGCUGUUCUGACGGUACCCAAAGAAUAAGCACCGGCUAACUUCGUG